UAGGAAAUCUGGGACCUGACUAAGCUUCUAACUUCUGUCGCGAGAGGUUCAAUUCCUUUCUUUCCUAA
rnacentral:tRNA from 1 species